AACAGGAUUAGAUACCCUGGUAGUCCACGCCGUAAACGAUGUCGACUUGGAGGUCGUGCCCUUGAGGCGUGGCUUCCGGAGCUAACGCGUUAAGUCGACCGCCUGGGGAGUACGGCCGCAAGGUUAAAACUCAAAUGAAUUGACGGGGGCCCGCACAAGUGGUGGAGCAUGUGGUUUAAUUCGAUGCAACGCGAAGAACCUUACCUACUCUUGACAUCCAGAGAACUUAGCAGAGAUGCUUUGGUGCCUUCGGGAACUCUGAGACAGGUGCUGCAUGGCUGUCGUCAGCUCGUGUUGUGAAAUGUUGGGUUAAGUCCCGCAACGAGCGCAACCCUUAUCCUUUGUUGCCAGCGGUUAGGCCGGGAACUCAAAGGAGACUGCCAGUGGUAAACUGGAGGAAGGUGGGGAUGACGUCAAGUCAUCAUGGCCCUUACGAGUAGGGCUACACACGUGCUACAAUGGCAUAUACAAAGAGAAGCGACCUCGCGAGAGCAAGCGGACCUCAUAAAGUAUGUCGUAGUCCGGAUUGGAGUCUGCAACUCGACUCCAUGAAGUCGGAAUCGCUAGUAAUCGUGGAUCAGAAUGCCACGGUGAAUACGUUCCCGGGCCUUGUACACACCGCCCGUCACACCAUGGGAGUGGGUUGCAAAAGAAGUAGGUAGCUUAACCUUCGGGAGGGCGCUUACCACUUUGUGAUUCAUGACUGGGGUGAAGUCGUAACAAGGUAACC
rnacentral:rRNA from 1 species